rnacentral:rRNA from 1 species
AACGAACGCUGGCGGCAGGCUUAACACAUGCAAGUCGAGCGCCCCGCAAGGGGAGCGGCGGACGGGUUAGUAACGCGUGGGAACGUGCCCUCUUCUACGGAAUAGCCUCGGGAAACUGAGAUUAAUACCGUAUACGCCCGAAAGGGGAAAGAUUUAUCGGAGGAGGAUCGGCCCGCGUUGGAUUAGGUAGUUGGUGGGGUAAUGGCCUACCAAGCCGACGAUCCAUAGCUGGUUUGAGAGGAUGAUCAGCAACACUGGGACUGAGACACGGCCCAGACUCCUACGGGAGGCAGCAGUGGGGAAUCUUGGACAAUGGGGGAAACCCUGAUCCAGCCAUGCCGCGUGAGCGAUGAAGGCCUUAGGGUUGUAAAGCUCUUUCAGCGGGGAAGAUAAUGACGGUACCCGCAGAAGAAGCCCCGGCUAACUCCGUGCCAGCCGCCGCCGUAA